rnacentral:ncRNA from 1 species
CUAAAGUCAGUGAUUGGGAAGAGUAGUUUUAAUUGUUUGUUUCAGCGAGUCGGGGUUAGGUGUGAUGCCCGAUAACAAAGGUUAUUAUGAAUGGUUCCAUGAGACAUUAGGCGAAAACAAAAUAGGCUUUAAACUAUUUUGAUAGUAGCUAAAUUCGUGUUCUCACGUUAUAGAGAUAGGAUAUAUGGUAAGUUUAUUUACUCCGUAUCUGAAAAGAGAGAGUGUGUUUGUUUAUUUAGUAGACUACAGGUAUUUUAUCUUAUUCAGAUAGAAUGCCUUUUAUUUUUUUAUAAAAGCAUACUUUGAAAUUGGGUGGCACCACGUAUACCACUUCGUCCCAUAU